rnacentral:lncRNA from 1 species
AGAGGCUCCGAGAAACGCACUUUUAAAUAAGAAAAUCGAACAGUUUGAUGGCGCCCUCGCUCCCUCUUCUCGCAGCCACCCUUGUGACACUCGAACGUUAUGGCCCCCUUUACAGGUGCCGGAUGGGGACUCGGAUCCUAUAAAGUCUGUUCGGCUGCAGUGGGGAGUCAGUGAGGCCGGCGAGGGAGCCCGGGGUGCGCACACGAUCCUCUGGGCAAGCUGGAGGAUUUGGGGACACUCGGAAGGGGCCGGGGGCUGGGGCUGGGGCCGGGGCAGGACUCUCCAGGUUCCCGAGCCUCUGCGCCUCGGAGAGCAGGCAGGACGGCCAGGCCAGGCGAUGGCAGGCCCCUCAGGGUCGCUGCACCCAGCUGGGAGGGGUGGGAGGGCUCCCCGACAGCUUCGGAAGGUUUGGAUUCAUUUUAAUGAAGAAAACCAUCUCCGUCCUAGUGAGCAGAGAUUGGAGAUUGCCCCCGUUUUUCCUGCACGGAAUCAUCUGGGGCUUAGCGUCCACGUUUACUGGAUAUCUCUUAGGUGCCUGGAGCGCUUGUCAGAUUCUGGAACCAGCCCAAACCAACAAAAGCCACCCGCGUCCCGGCGGAAGUCCAGCGCACAGUGGCCACUGAGUGCCCCUGGAAGCACCACCAAGCCCAGGAAAGCCCCACGACCACCACGCCCCGAGCUGUCCCCUGCACGUGGAUCUUCCCCGAUCUCCUAGUGGAAGUGCUUGCUGCAGACAUCAGUUGGGGGUCCUUGUCGCUUUCUUACAGGGCUGUUCAGGACAGCCAUGCUGCCACUGAACUGGCUUUCAGGGAUUCUUGAUGAAAUCACCCCGAGUCUCCAACUUGGGUUCUACCCCAAACCACAUGGUCUCCACUGUGGGAGUGCCACCAGCACCGAGGCCUCCAACUGCAGGCCUACAAAGACGGAGCAGCAGAAGACAUCUGCCACCAUCUUCUUGGCGCUUCAGAUAUCUUCAUGUUCAAAGGAGCCACUUAAACUCAACCUUCACCCACCACUUCCAUCACCUGUGACCUGGCCUCCCUAUCCAAUCUGCUCCCUGAUGAUCACUGGCAUCUUGUUUCUCUCUUGCUCAAAAGUCUUCACCAGUUUCUCAUACAAGAUCCAAUUCAAACUCCACAGCCUUGACACCUCACAUCCAGAACCCUUCCGGCACCCUCUGUCCACUCCAAGCUGGCCCUUUCUCUAACUCAUCCUUGUGGCCUCCCUGCCAGGCCUUUGCUCUUAAGAACACCCCACAUAUUAGACCCUCCUUGCUAUUCUC